CCUACGGGGGGCUGCAGUGGGGAAUAUUGGACAAUGGGGGGAACCCUGAUCCAGCCAUGCCGCGUGUGUGAAGAAGGCCCUCGGGUUGUAAAGCACUUUCAGUGAGGAAGAACGCCUGGUGGUUAAUACCCAUCAGGAAAGACAUCACUCACAGAAGAAGCACCGGCUAACUCUGUGCCAGCAGCCGCGGUAAUACGGAGGGUGCGAGCGUUAAUCGGAAUUACUGGGCGUAAAGCGCGCGUAGGUGGCUUGAUAAGCCGGUUGUGAAAGCCCCGGGCUCAACCUGGGAACGGCAUCCGGAACUGUCAAGCUAGAGUGCAGGAGAGGAAGGUAGAAUUCCCGGUGUAGCGGUGAAAUGCGUAGAGAUCGGGAGGAAUACCAGUGGCGAAGGCGGCCUUCUGGACUGACACUGACACUGAGGUGCGAAAGCGUGGGUAGCAAACAGGAUUAGAUACCCUGGUAGUC
rnacentral:rRNA from 1 species